AACGAUCGCUGGCGGCAUGCCUAACACAUGCAAGUCGAACGAGACCUUCGGGUCUAGUGGCGCACGGGUGCGUAACGCGUGGGAACCUGCCCUUAGGUUCGGAAUAACUCCCCGAAAGGGGUGCUAAUACCGGAUAAUGUCUUCGGACCAAAGAUUUAUCGCCUUUGGAUGGGCCCGCGUUGGAUUAGCUAGUUGGUAGGGUAAAAGCCUACCAAGGCGACGAUCCAUAGCUGGUCUGAGAGGAUGAUCAGCCAAACUGGGACUGAGACACGGCCCAGACCCCUAGGGGAGGAAGAAGGGGGGAAAAUGGAAAAAUGGGGAAAAACCUAAUCAAGAAAGGCCGGGUGAGGAAGGAAGGCUUUAGGGUUGUAAAGCUCUUUUACCCGGGAAAAAAAUGACAGACACGGGGAAAUAAGCCCCGGCAAACCCCGU
rnacentral:rRNA from 1 species